rnacentral:lncRNA from 1 species
CUACAGCUCCAGAUACACUGUCAACACAGCCCUGGUCCAUGCACACUUCCCGACCCCCUGGAGCACACCCAGUUGCCCUACUGCAGAUGCCACCACCUCUCCACCAAUGCCCCCUACAGUUCACAUAGUCCUCAUGCAGUCCCUGCUCCACAGAGAUGGAAACACUUGCCUUCCUGUAGAGGAUCAAGGCACACAGUCUAUGCAGACCAACAAGUAGCUUGAGGGCUUGCUGUUGGGUGGGGCUGGUCUCUAGGGUGGGCUGCCUGCCCUGGCUGAAAUGGAUUAAAUCUACACUCUGCUGGAUGUGGCAGACCCCUGGGCUAUCAGGCCAGAGGAAGAACUUCAAUGGCAUGUGCUGGUGUCUCUGUCAGCACACAUGUCCUAGAUUACAACAAUGGCCACCACCAAAGUCUCAGUCUCUGGAGAGGUCUCAUCUCUCACCAAAAUGCACCCAGAGCCUACCAAACCCACAACUGAUAAAAGGAGAUAUACUCCAAUAUUGCAAAGGCCUAAUUGCUUCUAUUAAAAAUAACCAUGUUUUGGUAGAGCAAUCUUUUGACAGUGUGCUCCAGGGAGACAUAGUCUUUAUUCAUUUUGCCAUAUAACCAGGAGAUUUCAUCAAUUGGAAAAGACACCUCCACAAGGAUUCUCUUCAACCUCACUGG